CUGUAAUCCCAGCUACUCAGGAGGCUGAGGCAGAAGAAUCUCUUGAACUUGGGAGGUGGAGGUUUCAGUGAGCCAAGAUCACACCACUGCACUCCAGCCUGGGCAGCAGAGUAAGACUCCAUCUAAAAAAAAAAAGAGAUAACAAUAUCCCCUUUGCAGAAUGGUGAUGGGCAUCAGACAUGACAUAUGUAACAUGUCCCAUGCACGGAAGGGUGCUCCAUGACUGCAAACCUGGAUGAUGAUGACAACGACGAUGGAGAUGACUAAGACUGUAUUUAAAAAUGGAAUUGCUGUUGUUUCCUGGCUUCCUGAUGGUCCUGUUUUUUACCUUCUGCUGCUUUUUACGGAUUUAUUUUUUAGAGUUUUUGUCCUACUCUGGUGUCAACUCUCACCCUCCAGAUCAAUGUUCCCACCAUCGUCUCAGUCUUCAGGAGUCCCCAAAAUAAAUGAGAGCUCUUCCUCCCUCUGUGGCACUCCAGCAGGCCCGCAGCAUCCUUGCUCCUUUAGAAGCCCUCUUGGGGGCUUCACUGCUCUGUUUUGACACCUCCAGCGGCUCCCACUGUCCACUGGUCACAUCCUUGGUCUAGAAAAUGUGAAAGGAAGAGACAAAGAGGCUCCUUGGGCAGAAGAGGUGGGAAAGAAAUGUGACUUUCCC
rnacentral:lncRNA from 1 species